rnacentral:rRNA from 1 species
GUAGGUGGCAAGCGUUGUCCGGAAUUAUUGGGCGUAAAGCGCGCGCAGGCGGGUUCUUUAAGUCUGAUGUGAAAGCCCACGGGCUCAACCGUGGAGGGUCAUUGGAAACUGGGGAACUUGAGUACAGAAGAGGAAAGCGGAAUUCCACGUGUAGCGGUGAAAUGCGUAGAGAUGUGGAGGAACACCAGUGGCGAAGGCGGCUUUCUGGUCUGUAACUGACGCUGAGGCGCGAAAGCGUGGGGAGCAAACAGGAUUAGAUACCCUGGUAGUCCACGCCGUAAACGAUGAGUGCUAAGUGUUAGGGGGUUUCCGCCCCUUAGUGCUGCAGCUAACGCAUUAAGCACUCCGCCUGGGGAGUACGGCCGCAAGGCUA